CUUCGCUCCGGUGGAGUGAUCAUUUCCCGUGUAAUACCUCUUAUCCUUUUCGAAGAACAGUUCUUCCACUUUGUUUUCAUUGUCGUAGUGAACUUUCGAGGUUUGCUCAAAGCGAAUUUUUCUCUCCAACAACACGUUCGACGCUUUAUUAUUUUCAGGCAUUGCACAUGCAAUAACAUCACGUCAGCCGACAAAACAAUAAACUGGCCCACCGGCAGAGUGCAGUAUUUGAAAAUAUGACAGGUGCACCAACCCAGCUGACUAUAAACAUGGCGGCAUCUAAAGACAGAGUGGGGAGUAACAGGUGUAAAAUACUAAUAAUCGGCGCAGGUAUGGCGGGAUUGUCAGCGGCACAUCAUUUAGUAAAAAAUGGCGUAACUGACUUCAAGAUACUGGAAGCUAGGAGAAGAAUCGGUGGCAGAAUUGUUUCUAUUCCAACCGACCAUCAUAGGGUGGAAUUAGGGGCCAACUGGAUCCAUGGAGUACUUGGGAAUCCCAUGUACGAACUAGCCAUGACAAAUGGUCUUAUAGACAUAGUCCAUGUCCCUAAACCGCACAGAGUUGUAGCUGCUACAGAAGAUGGUAAACUUAUACCAUUCCAGUUACUACAGGAGAUUUAUGAGGCCUACGUAUGUUUUCUUCGACGUUGUGAGGAAUAUUUCCUGUGCCACUAUUUGCCUCCAGCUGGUAUUCACAGUGUAGGAGAACACAUUAAUCUAGAAGCUGCAUUGUACUUAGACCACUGUCAAAAUCCAGAAGAACGUCAGAUACGUCAGUUAAUAUUUGAUUGUUUGUUAAAACGCGAAACUUGUAUUACUGGUUGUCAUUCCAUGGAUGAAAUAGAUCUGCUAGAACUGGGCAGCUACACUGAACUUCAAGGAGGAAACAUUGUGCUACCUUCUGGUUACAGCAGCAUCCUGGAACCCAUAGCAAAAGUCAUACCACCCCAAAAUAUUGUUACAGGUAAACCUGUGGCAACAGUGCGAUGGAGUUGCAGUAACGAAAUGCAGUUAUCUAAUAUGACAAGCCCUGGAGGUGACUCGGGUAUUGACAUUCUUGCAAAUGGAGAUCCAGGAAAUGAUUCUGAUGACUCUGAUAGGACUGUCACUGAUGAUUUCCCAAAAUGUGUAGAACAUUCAAGCAGGGAAGGAAGCUGUGAAGCAGCAGAUAAAAAAAGUAGCACAAAAUCUCAGUGCAGUGCUGAGAGUGGUGAAAGUUCUGGCACAGGUGUUCAACAGUCAACAGUGAAUUCUGCUUCAGGACAGUGUAGUCAACAGGAUGACAGUGAAAAUUCAGAUUCUUGUGUUUUACCUCCAAGUGUAGAAAUUGUGUGUGAUGAUGGUGACACUUAUUAUGCUGAUCAUGUUAUAUGCACAUUACCACUUGGAGUUUUGAAAGAUAGGGCAUCUACAAUGUUCUGCCCUCCAUUGCCUCAAUAUAAGACUGAAUCAGUCAACAGGCUUCUUUUUGGCACAGUUGACAAAAUAUUUCUGGAAUAUGAUCGCCCAUUUCUCAACCCAGACAUAUCAGAACUUAUGCUUCUUUGGAAAAGUGAUGCAGCAGAGAAUGGAAAUGAAGACUCAUCUGAUUUAAGUAAAUGCUGGUUUCGUAAAAUUUACUCAUUUUCCAAAGUAUCAGAGACACUUUUACUUGGAUGGAUAUCAGGUAAAGAAGCAGAGUAUAUGGAAACAUUAGCACAUGAGGAAGUUGCAGAAAAGUGCACGGAGAUACUGAGAAAGUUUCUUAAUGAUCCAUUUGUACCUAAACCAAAGCUCUGUGUAUGUACCAGCUGGCGCUCUCAGCCUUACACAAGAGGUUCCUACACUGCAAUGGCUGUCGGUGCUAGUCAGGUUGACAUUGAGAACAUAGCACGGCCACUUUAUGCCAGCUCACAGGAAAAGAAGCCUGUACUUCUCUUUGCUGGAGAGCAUACGCACAGCAGUUUCUAUUCAACGGUUCAUGGUGCAUACCUGACUGGUCGGAGUGCAGCCCAAGUGCUACUUGAUCCUGACUCUCCUGAACAAUUAAUAAUGCAGUGUGAAGGAACAAGUGAUUUAAGUUCCUGGAUUCAGGUGGAGCAGUUGCCAACGCCAUUUUUUUGCCACAGUUUGAAAUUUGAUUUUCUGAGAAUGUUUUGAGUCGCAGGCCUGGGGAUAUCUGAUAUGAAUCCAGUCAAAACGAACUAAAAUGGGACCAUUGUAGUCUAAAAGGCUUUAAUUGAAAAGUCGCUGCCUGAGCAGCAGUACAUGACAGUGUGCAGAUACUUUCUUGUAUACAGAAAAAUGACUGAUGGUGAAAUUACUGCAAAUCAUUUAACAUUUUAACCUUCAACUCUUCUCAUUAUAGUUGGUCUUGGCAAACCAAAAAUUUUCAGUGAGUUAUGUUUUGUCUUGUCUUUUUACAAAGCUGAAAAAGAUGAUGUGUGUAAGAGUUUAUAUGGUUGCAUCAGAAAUGUUCAGUGUGAAUAGAAUGCUCCCGUGCACAAUUUAGUGUCAUACAACAAAAGUUUCAUUUGCGGCUUCAGCACUCAAAAGAUGAUGUAAAAGCAGGUUGAAACAUUGCAACAUUUACCUUGGCCACAUGUGAAAUAUAUUAGAUGCUUCUGACUUAUUUAAGGUGAUUUUAAUUCUAUUAUUUAGAAGAUUCAGUAAAUUUGUUUUUGUAGAUUUUUAUUUGUAACACAAUCUGUUAUCUGUGGACGCAAUCUUCCUUUCUCGUAAUACACCAGGGUAGCUGUUUGACACACUAUAAUAAGUGGUGAACCUUUAAACUUUAUAUAUUUUUUUUUAAUUUUUGUGGAUCCACAUGGUAAUAUGUAUGUACCUUUGUCAUAACUUUCAUUGAUUUCACAUAAUAGUAAUUAAGGUAGAAGUAAUGUGCAUUUAUUAUGAAAUGAGUUCUCAUGCUUUCACAUCAAACACACUUGACUAUAGAGUACAGACUGAAACCACUACCACCAUCAGAAGACACUAAAAGCAGUGCCUUUUGAAGCAGCUAUCCGUCUUUGCCAUGUGUACCAUUUAGUUGUAGUUGCUGCAGUUCUUUCUGCAGAUAACAUUUUCUAAUAUGGAUGUUCUGGGUCUCCCUCCUGAUUUUUCCUUCCAAGAUGUUUUUUAUGAAGUAGUUGUAUCAAAUUAUGUGUCAAUUUAAUUUUGAUUUUCUCCUCUGUUUCAUAUUAAUGAAUGCCCUUAGCUCUUUAAUUUGUUCACUAGAUUUACUUUUGGUUUAGGUUGUUUUUUAUGGCUCUCUUCCACAUUCGUAUUUCUGUUGCU